CCAGAGACGCCAUUAUAACAG
rnacentral:siRNA from 1 species